rnacentral:rRNA from 1 species
GACGAACGCUGGCGGCGUGCUUAACACAUGCAAGUCGAACGGAAAGGCCCUGCUUUUGUGGGGUGCUCGAGUGGCGAACGGGUGAGUAACACGUGAGUAACCUGCCCUUGACUUUGGGAUAACUUCAGGAAACUGGGGCUAAUACCGGAUAGGAGCUCCUGCUGCAUGGUGGGGGUUGGAAAGUUUCGGCGGUUGGGGAUGGACUCGCGGCUUAUCAGCUUGUUGGUGGGGUAGUGGCUUACCAAGGCUUUGACGGGUAGCCGGCCUGAGAGGGUGACCGGCCACAUUGGGACUGAGGUACGGCCCAGACUCCUACGGGAGGCAGCAGUGGGGAACAUUGCACAGUGGGCGGAAGCCAGAUGCAGCAACGCCGCGUGCGGGAUGACGGCCUUCGGGUUGUAAACCGCUUUCGCCUGUGACGAAGCGUGAGUGACGGUAAUGGGUAAAGAAGCACCGGCUAACUACGUG